GUCGGCGUAGCUCAGCGGUUAGAGCGGCUCCCUCAUAAAGAGCAGGUCGCAGGUUCAAAUCCUGCCGCCGACACCA
rnacentral:tRNA from 1 species